UCCCGCUUUCAGGUGAACUGAAGCCCUAAAAAGAGUUUCAGAGCAAGGAGGAGACUGCGAACAGAACAAGAAGAAAGGGCAGGAAUUCAGUUUCUUCUUCUUCAAUUGAUUGUUCAAACUAUAUAGAGCUGGAAACCAUUAGAGAAUCUUCACUUUCGGUCCGAACUACGCGCCAAGGCAAGCAAUGGAGUGAUGGGCAGGUCCUAUACAAGAUGUCCCCCAGAACUGCUCAAAUCCGUCUUGUCAGCUCACAUCGCGAGGUUUAUGAACCGUGUGAUGAUUCAUUUGCUUUAGUAGAUGCUCUUUUGGCUGAUCAAGCAAACCUGUUACAGCAUCAACCAAAAUUGUGCCUGGAACUGGGCUGUGGUAGUGGCUAUGUUAUUACUUCUCUAGCUCUUAUUCUUGGCAAGGAGGGGCACUAUAUUGCAACUGAUAUCAACCCCCAUGCAGUGAGAGUGACUCAGGAGACACUUGAAGCACACGGGGUUCAUGCAGAAUUGAUAAACACUAACAUUGCAUCAGGACUUGAGAAGCGUCUGGCAGGAUUAGUUGAUGUAAUAGUUGUGAACCCGCCUUAUGUGCCUACUCCUGAAGAUGAAGUGGGUCGUGAAGGGAUUGCAUCUGCUUGGGCUGGCGGAGAGAAUGGUCGUGCUGUGAUUGAUAAGAUACUGCCUGUUGCCGAUAAUCUUUUGUCAGAGAAAGGCUGGUUGUAUAUGGUCACGCUUUCAGAAAACAAUCCAUCAGAGAUAUGCCUUCAAAUGAGAGAGAAGGGCUAUGCUUCCAGAAUCCUUGUCCAGAGAUUGACAGACGAAGAGAGUCUCCAGAUCAUCAAGUUCUGGCGGGAUUUUGAUUCUCAAUUAGAAGCGAAGGAGAUGGCAGAAAACAAAACAGUUCCGUCUAGGGUCAUGGAGUCUUUGCUCUCUCAAUUUCCUAGAAUGCCAUUUUUGAGAGGCAAUAACAGCAACAGUAGCUGAUGAAUAGACAAGGUUAAAACAAAAGGUUUUCUAGUGUUUACAUGUUUGAUAAUAGUUCCUCUUCUUCUCUGACUGGUGUAAACUUGUAGAAUCGUCUGCUUAUGUGAGAUUUCAAAAGAAAUAUUAGAUUUGUGUUCCUUUGCUUGAGGUUGACGGUUUCAACUGCCUAAAUCAAAGCCUCUGAGUCACUCCUGUAAAGAGUUCGAUGUGUAUGCAACUCUUGAGAGAUGGAGGACCCUAGAACUUCUUUUUAGCUGCUUCUCUACUGUGAGAAUCAUUUUCCACUUUAGUAGCAAUGGAAAAAACCAAGACUCAAUUGCUGAUGCCACUCUACAUGUCACUCAUCAGUUGUUGAUAUUGGAGUCAUUCUACUCAGU